rnacentral:tRNA from 1 species
GGGGAUUUAGCUCAGCGGCAUAAGCACCUGCCUUGCAAGCAGGUGGUGGUAAAUUCAAUCCCUG